UGGAAAGACAAUGAAGGAAUAUGGAACUGCCACAUACUCAGUGUUCCUAUUGAGGCGGGACAAUGGUCACAUCUCAGGGGAGCAGGUGGAGAGGGGUGGAGAGUGUCUCACAGAACGCUGUGUGAAUCUGGGAAACUGGUGACCCCCAGAUCUGCUGCCUGAUGUUGCAACCUGGUCUCAGAGCAUUUCGUAUUAUUCUAUUUGACAGACUACUACCAGAGGUAGUGAAGUCUGGAGGUAGCAGAUGUGUCCUCUGUCUUGAGGCUGCUGGUCAGUACCCAGCCUGACGUCACAGACCAUCUGGAUUCUGGAGGGGAAAACGACCAUUGGUUCCUUCCAUACUGUUUCACAAGCAUGUAUUUAUUUAAUUUUAUUCAGGUAAACCUAAAAAGUAUAUUCUCUAUCUGUUUUGUGGAAAAUUACAUUGUUAUUAAUGUUUAUAUUGAUGUGAGGAAUGAUGUUGCCAAUAAGACUGAACUGUGACUCUGCUCGCCAGAGCAUUCCCACAUUUUUCCCAUUGACAGAAAUACCUUCAAACAAUAGAAGUAUGCCUUAUUAAGCUAUUUUGUCUCUUAAUACAAUUCCCCAAAAGUGCCUGGUGAGUAGCUUGUUAGUUAAAUAUUACUCCAUUUCAAUAUGACUGAACUGCAAGUGUGCUAGGUACAAGAGUAUAACAAAAUAGCAAUUUUGCAACUACCAUUAUGAAUAACCAGUUAAUUACUUAUGGUAUUUUGAAUCAGGAAACCAAUUCGUGUAGUGUUGUGAUUUUUCAAAAGUUGAGCAUGUUGCUGACUUGACUUUAGACACAACAACAUCUGGAUAUUCUGAUACACAUAUUAACAGAAUAGUUGCAUUGCAGUAAGUCAGGAGUAAAUGUGUACUUAUGUGGGUAUUGUGGAUUUAGCCAUAUACAGUCAUUGAUGCUUGAACAAAUUCCAGUAUAAAACUUGCUGGACAGUGAAGGGUUUUCUGAAGUUUGUGGAACUGCUUAAUUAAGGUGUAUAACACUUUAGGUAUAGUAUAGUGUGUUUAUUCAUGCACUAUCGAAGUAAGUUAUUCACUUAUGUUCAGGUAGUACGUUCUACAUUGAAAGGGUUUACACCAUUUUUUUAUAUAAAUGAAUGUCAAUGUAUUUUUUUUAUAGCACACCUGGCCUGUACUGUAUGUGUAUUCACUUUUAUGUUUCUCCAAUUAAUGUUUUCUGUGCGAUAAAAUUGAGGGGUAUGAAUGACCCUACAUAUUCAUCAGUUGUAUAUCAUUGAGUUUUUCUGUCAUUUCUUGUCAAGAGCAUAAAACUGAGAGAACAAUUCAUUCCUCCAUGAGACACAAACAUAUAUAUAGCAUAUACCUAAUGAUGUCAUGAGACACUAAUGAUGUCAUGAGACACAAACAUAUAUAUA